GCCCCGCUGAUGCAACAGGCAGACAUGGAGCGCCCAAACCGCGCCUUCUGAAGGUUCGAAUCCUUCGCGGGGCACCA
rnacentral:tRNA from 1 species